rnacentral:rRNA from 1 species
CCAAGGAGUCUAACAUGUGCGCGAGUCACUCGGUCUUGUUUAGGCCAGAGAGGCGCAAUGAAAGUAAAGUUGAUUGAGUUACGAUCCCUAUGUCAGUUAUGCCUCAGUGUGUAACGGUAGGGCGCAGUAACAGCCCGCUAAUUUCGCCUAUUGACGAUCUAGCGGAGUUGUAGCGUACACGUUGGUACCCGAAAGAUGGUGAACUAUGCCUGGGCAAGACGAAGCCAGAGGAAACUCUGGUGGAGGUCUGUAGCGAUUCUGACGUGCAAAUCGAUCGUCAGACCUGGGUAUAGGGGCGAAAGACUAAUCGAACCAUC